GAUGAACGCUAGCGGCAGGCCUAACACAUGCAAGUCGAGGGGUAGAAGGAGCUUGCUCCUUUGAGACCGGCGCACGGGUGCGUAACGCGUAUGCAAUCUACCUUGUACAGGGGAAUAGCCCAGAGAAAUUUGGAUUAAUGCCCCAUAGUAUAUAACCUUCGCAUGUUGGUUAUAUUAAAGUUCCAACGGUACAAGAUGAGCAUGCGUCCCAUUAGUUAGUUGGUAAGGUAACGGCUUACCAAGACGAUGAUGGGUAGGGGUCCUGAGAGGGAGAUCCCCCAAACGGGGACUAAGACACGGACCAGAAAACUGCGGGAGGAAGCAGUGGAGAAUAUUGGGGAAUGGUCGAAAGACUGAACCAGCCAUGCCGCGUGCAGGAAGACGGUCCUAGGGAUUGUAAACUGCUUUUAUACAGGAAGAAACCCUCCCACGUGUGGGAGCUUGACGGUACUGGAGGAAUAAGGAUCGGCUAACUCCGUG
rnacentral:rRNA from 1 species